CCUACGGGUGGCUGCAGUGGGGAAUAUUGGACAAUGGGGGGAACCCUGAUCCAGCCAUGCCGCGUGUGUGAAGAAGGCCCUCGGGUUGUAAAGCACUUUCAGUGAGGAAGAACGCCUGGUGGUUAAUACCCAUCAGGAAAGACAUCACUCACAGAAGAAGCACCGGCUAACUCCGUGCCAGCAGCCGCGGUAAUACGGAGGGUGCGAGCGUUAAUCGGAAUUACUGGGCGUAAAGCGCGCGUAGGUGGCUUGAUAAGCCGGUUGUGAAAGCCCCGGGCUCAACCUGGGAACGGCAUCCGGAACUGUCAAGCUAGAGUACAGGAGAGGAAGGUAGAAUUCCCGGUGUAGCGGUGAAAUGCGUAGAGAUCGGGAGGAAUACCAGUGGCGAAGGCGGCCUUCUGGACUGACACUGACACUGAGGUGCGAAAGCGUGGGUAGCAAACAGGAUUAGAUACCCUAGUAGUC
rnacentral:rRNA from 1 species